rnacentral:rRNA from 1 species
UACAUGGGGUGCAAACGUUGCUCGGAAUCAUUGGGCGUAAAGCGCGCGUAGGCGGUUACUUAAGUCGAAUGUGAAAGCCCUCGGCUUAACCGAGGAAGUGCAUCCGAAACUGAGUAGCUAGAGUACGAAAGAGGGUCGCGGAAUUCCCGGUGUAGAGGUGAAAUUCGUAGAUAUCGGGAGGAACACCGGUGGCGAAGGCGGCGACCUGGGUCGAGACUGACGCUGAGGCGCGAAAAGCGUGGGGAGCAAACAGG